AUUGAACGCUGGCGGCAGGCUUAACACAUGCAAGUCGAGCGGGGUGAUGGUGCUUGCACUAUCACUUAGCGGCGGACGGGUGAGUAAUGCUUAGGAAUCUGCCUAUUAGUGGGGGACGACAUCUCGAAAGGGAUGCUAAUACCGCAUACGUCCUACGGGAGAAAGCAGGGGAUCACUUGUGACCUUGCGCUAAUAGAUGAGCCUAAGUCGUAUUAGCUAGUUGGUGGGGUAAAGGCCUACCAAGGCGACGAUCUGUAGCGGGUCUGAGAGGAUGAUCCGCCACACUGGGACUGAGACACGGCCCAGACUCCUACGGGAGGCAGCAGUGGGGAAUAUUGGACAAUGGGGGGAACCCUGAUCCAGCCAUGCCGCGUGUGUGAAGAAGGCCUUAUGGUUGUAAAGCACUUUAAGCGAGGAGGAGGCUCUUUUGGUUAAUACCCAAGAUGAGUGGACGUUACUCGCAGAAUAAGCACCGGCUAACUCUGUGCCAGCCGCCGCUGUAA
rnacentral:rRNA from 1 species